rnacentral:lncRNA from 1 species
UUAUUUACACUUCCUUUUAGCAAAAUACACAUCUAGAACAAAACUCCAAAACAUAAAAAGUAGAAAUCUUAAAUCAAACUUGCUUUCAUUGAAUUGUUGCUAUCGCUGCCCACCACAAGUGUUUCUCUUAUUGUCAUCGUUCAAAUAUGUAUGGUCGUUUUCUUCGUGUUUAAGCUCUCUUAGUUAUUUUUCAUUUUUUUUUUAUCUUUUUU